rnacentral:rRNA from 1 species
UACGUAGGGAGCAAGCGUUGUCCGGAUUUAUUGGGCGUAAAGAGCUCGUAGGCGGCUUAGAAAGUCAGAUGUGAAAACUCCAGGCUCAACCUGGAGACGCCAUUUGAUACUUCUAUGGCUUGAGUUCGGUAGGGGACCAUGGAAUUCCUGGUGUAGCGGUGAAAUGCGCAGAUAUCAGGAGGAACACCGAUGGCGAAGGCAGUGGUCUGGGCCGAUACUGACGCUGAGGAGCGAAAGCGUGGGGAGCGAACAGGAUUAGAUACCCUGGUAGUCCACGCCGUAAACGUUGGGCACUAGGUGUGGGAAGAAACCAACUCUUUCCGUGCCGUAGCUAACGCAUUAAGUGCCCCGCCUGGGGAGUACGGUCGCAAGACUAAA